AGAGACCGAACAUACAUCUGCUUCUCCCAGAUGUGCCCCGUUCCUAUGACUUCAUUAAGAUAGGCACACAUGCAAUGCAGAACAGCAAGCCGCCCACGGACCACCAGGGGCCUCAGUGCGGAGAGAGCUCUAAGCCAUGAGGCCGAAAGAGAGAAGGCUUGUUGUGGCGCUGGCUGAGAAGUCAGAUGAGACACCCAGGGGAUCUGCAAGGGCAAGUGACAGCCACAAGCAUGAGUCAAGUCCCCUGUCCCUGAGUGAGUGUCUAGGUAGGGCAGGGACCUUACCUGGAGUGUGGAGAUUGUGGCGAUGUCCAGAAUGUUCCUCCAGCUGGUUGGGCCUUUGGGGCUGGACCCAGACCUUGCCAACUGGGUGGAUGGUGAGGAGGCCUGCUGGGAAGCGGCCUGUCGGCUUCCUGCCUGAUCAUAACCUUGUGUGCGCCAGGCUGGGCCCCUUCUCCGCAGUCCUCAGCUCCCCUUAAACCCAGGAGGCUCUCUUGGCUGGCUGCACUUAGGCUGCUUGGGGAGGAGCAAGCUUGUUUCCAAUGUCCUCAUUUUCUCCUGCACCAACAUUGUGGGUGUCUGCACCCACUACCCAGCUGAGGUGUCCCAGAGACAGGCCUUCCAGGAGACCCGGGAGUGCAUCCAGGCACGGCUCCACUCGCAGCGGGAGAACCAGCAGCAGGAGCGGCUUUUGCUGUCAGUCCUUCCCCGUCAUGUUGCCAUGGAGAUGAAAGCAGACAUCAAUGCCAAGCAGGAGGAUAUGAUGUUCCACAAGAUUUACAUCCAGAAGCAUGACAACGUGAGCAUCCUGUUUGCUGACAUCGGGGGCUUCGCCCAGCCUGGCAUCCCAGUGCACUGCCCAGGAACUAGUCAUGACCCUCAACGAGCUCUUCGCCCGCUUUGACAAGCUCGCUGCGGAGAAUCACUGUUUACGCAUUAAGAUCCUGGGGGAUUAUUCCACUGCGUCUCAGGGCUGCCUGAGGCCAGGGCCGACCACGCCCACUGCUGUGUGGAGAUGGGCAUGGACAUGAUCGGGCCAUCUCGUAAGUGCCGACCUCAGGCCUGUCCACUCGGGGGUGCUGUCCCCCAGCCUGAGUGAGACUGACCAGCCAACUGGACUGAUAGAGAAACGGUGGGGAAACUGUGAGGCAAAAGCUGUCUCCCAGGGACCCAUCUGGCCUUGCCCCAACCCCCAGUUCGGGUCUGCACCUCCAGACUUUGUGCCUCUCUGGGGCUCCUUCACUCCCAACAGCCAGGGCAGCUUUUACCCCCAGUGAGGAGGAAUCUGUGCUCCAUCCAGUGCCUCCUGCCUGCUCACAAACUCCCAGCUGGUGGAGGAAACUGCUGCUCCCCCACUCCUCCCAGAUGGGAGAGAGUUGAACAGCUCCGCAGGCCCACAAGAUUCAAACACAGGGGUUCCAUUUUGAGAGAAUCCCCCCUUCUUGUGAGCAACAGCAACAAGGUUCUUGGGCCAGUUCUUGGUCAUUGCGGGUCAAGAAAGGAGCCUUGGUCAUUGAGUCACGCGGACUUAUAUAUGAGUUUAUAUAUGAACCAAGGAAGCAGGCAGUGACUGUAUCCAGAUUCAGUAAUUUUGGACUUCAGAAUUACCCUGAAUAGGGGCGAUGGAAAAAACAGAUGGCAAGUUGAGAGGUCAGAGUAGCUGGCCAGGGAACUGGCCUGGUCCGUGGUUGUGGGAUGGUUCUGUUUACCAAGUGCCCCCUGCAGCCUGGGCCGGAAAGUCCCUUGCCCAGAGACACAGCGAGGUGAGAGCUGGGACCUCUGAGGCUCUGCUUGAGGGGUGUCUGUGCACGUGACCUGCUGAGAGGGGCAAACUGCUGUGAGGAGGAAUGGCUGGUCUCACUGAGGGCUUUAGAGAAGCUUCACAGAGGACAGACAGUGAGACAUGUCAUCCUAAGCAAGGCACAUCAUGGACAGGAGGCUGCCCCGGAAAUGGUACUUCCCAAGCCGAUCCCAGGAUGGACAAGUUCCCUGCAGUGGGUGUCAGCUCGCUGAGGGGUGGGUUGGGAGGCAGAGGGUAGAGGGGUGGUCCUGCCACCAGGCAAAGCCAGACUCCUGGGCAAAGCUGGCUGAGUGGGCUCCACACCUAGGGGGUCAGGAAAGCCACAGUCCCUAAAAACUGCCCACCUCUGCCCCCGCCCGCAGCAUCUGCACCCCAUUCUGCAGACCUCGGGUCCCAGACACAGGUGCAGCUUCCCUUCUUCCCUGUCACCCGCUCCCCAGCAUGGGAGAUUAUAAGUAGGCCCCAACUCAUCUUCUGGGGACCCCUGUGUGCAGGUAGCAAUGACUGGGGCUGCCCUGUAGGACACAGCACCCCCAGCCCUCACACCUUCCCAGGCUUCCCCACUCUUCCAGAGCAGGGAAAAUCCCCUCCCUGGAAACCAGUUGACCACCCUUGCCUCCAUCGUCCUCCUAACGCCUUAAAGCAGCAGUGUGGAUAAAUCCAAUGAACAGAUAAUCCAAACGUCUCUUAUGUCUUUUCCACAGAGCAAUUGUGAUUGGUGUUUGGAGUGGUUAUCACUUUCCUGUUGGGUUCAAAUUGGCAUUAAUGUACAUUUGCAUUUCUUUAACUGACUGAAGGUAGCCAGAGGUAACCUGAGAGGCAGGAGGGGGCCUUGGGUUUUACUGUGAGUCCCCAUGCCACCUUGUGGCCAAGGUAGGAAAUAGCAUUUUCAGGUUUGUGCACCUGAGCCCCAGGACCGAGCACUUGCAGCCCCUGCAUCCAGACCCUUCAGGUUUCGGUCCCAGCUCUACUUCACCUGGACCAGAAAGAAAUGCCUCUUUGACCUGAGUCUUCUGACACCCCAGCCUCACUUUCCAGCCUCCCCACUCCAUGUGCCUGGUCCCUGACUCCCUCCCAGCCUUAUCCCUGCUCCAUCCCCAGGUUGGUCCGGGAGGUGACAGGGGUGAACGUGAACAUGCGUGUGGGAAUUCACAGCGGGCGAGUACACUGCGGUGUCCUUGGUCUCAGGAAGUGGCAGUUCGACGUCUGGUCUAACGACGUCACGCUGGCCAACCACAUGGAGGCCGGGGGCAGGCGGGGUG
ensembl:lncRNA